UACGUAGGGGGCAAGCGUUGUCCGGAAUCAUUGGGCGUAAAGCGCGUGUAGGCGGUUCGGUAAGUCGGCUGUGAAAGUCCAGGGCUCAACCCUGGGAUGCCGGUCGAUACUGCCGGACUAGAGUUCGGAAGAGGCGAGUGGAAUUCCCGGUGUAGCGGUGAAAUGCGCAGAUAUCGGGAGGAACACCAAUGGCGAAGGCAGCUCGCUGGGACGUUACUGACGCUGAGACGCGAAAGCGUGGGGAGC
rnacentral:rRNA from 1 species